rnacentral:rRNA from 1 species
UACGAAGGGUGCAAGCGUUACUCGGAAUUACUGGGCGUAAAGCGUGCGUAGGUGGUUCGGUAAGUCGGAUGUGAAAUCUCCAGGCUCAACCUGGAGGGGUCAUUCGAUACUGCCGUGACUAGAGGUCGGUAGGGGAGUGUGGAAUUCCUGGUGGAGCGGUGAAAUGCGCAGAUAUCAGGAGGAACACCCGUAGCGAAGGCGGCACUCUGGGCCGAUACUGACACUGAGGAGCGAAAGCGUGGGGAGCGAACAGG